AUGAGGGCUUUAUUCUGGAACAUUAGAGGGUUCGGUGCUAGGGGGCGCCGCGACCAACUCAAAGAUCUGAUCUGUUCUAAUUCUAUUGACUUUGUGGGGCUGGUUGAAACCUUUAAGGAAGUUUUUUCCCCUAAUGACCUCUCUGCUAUUGUGGGCAUGGACAGAUUCAAUUGGAAUUUUUUACCUGCUUCGGGUCACUCCGGUGGGAUCUUGAUAGGCUCUAAUAAAGAUAUUUUCGAUUUUGUUGCAUUUGAUCAUGGGGUCUUUUGGGCUAGUUCUGUUCUUUGUCAUAAAGCUCUGAAUAUUCUCUGUGAGUUUAUCAUCCUUUAUGGGCCUGCGGACCAUUCAUUGUCCCCUUUAUUUCUUAAUGAGCUAUCUAUGAAGGUUGAAUCCUGUUAUCUCCCGAUGGUUAUCGGGGGUGACUUUAAUCUUUUG
rnacentral:rRNA from 1 species